rnacentral:rRNA from 1 species
UACGUAGGGGGCAAGCGUUGUCCGGAUUUAUUGGGCGUAAAGAGCGUGUAGGCGGCCAGGUAGGUCUGCUGUGAAAACUCGAGGCUUAACCUCGAGCUGUCGGCGGAAACCAUCUGGCUAGAGUCCGGAAGAGGAGAAUGGAAUUACCGGUGUAGCAGUGAAAUGCGUAGAUAUCGGUAGGAACACCAAUGGCGAAGGCAGCUUGCUGGGCAUUAUCUGACGCUAAGGCACGAAAGCGUGGGGAGCGAACAGG